rfam:Taeniopygia guttata chromosome 12, whole genome shotgun sequence.
AAAACGGUCCUUUUCAGUACCAAAAAAAUAAACAAAAAAACACUC